GCAUGGAAUCUGAUGAAAUAAUUCAUGCUGCAGUAGGAUUUGUGCAGUGGGUAACAGGUUUAUUAUUAUUAUGGAGUCAAUCUAAUCAUCAGAUGAUUUAUAUGGCUGGUUCUGUUCCCUGUCAUCUGCAUUGGGGCUACAACCACAUUAUAGGGCCCAGUCUUGGAACCCUUACACAUCUCCUGAGAAGGAAACCAUUCCAUCAGGAGGGCAGAAGCAACAUCUCAGAGACAGCAGAGGCGGGCAGAAGAGGACACUGGAAGAACAGCACAUGGGGAUGGACAGCAGAAACCAGGAGCAGUUUGAAGUCCCCAGGGCACAGGAGUUUUCAGUAAUGAUCAUAAUAUGGAACCUGUGCAUGAAGGCAAUGCAGCUGAUGGAAAUGAGCAUCUAGAAAUGGAAAUUUCUACAUCUGAGAUGGAAGAAAGACUUAAAGAGCUCAAUGAAUUCAAAUCAGGAGGACCAGAUAAUUUCCACCCCAGAAUAUUGAAAUA